AUUCCAAAGGAAUUUAACUCCUUGUUUUCCGAUGAACUGGAACUGGACUUCAAAUAGAAUUCAAUUGCGGAUAUGCUCGAGCACAGAGAUGCACAAAACAAUUGCAUACCUGGGCGAAAAGAAUCAAUCCAGAGGCAUACUGGACAUCACUCUCCACUUAGGUGCAUACUGGCCAUCAUUUUCCACUUAGGUAACCAAUAAAAACAGGCUGCGAUACGAUUAGAAACCAUGAGAAAGUAUGAUGGCGCUGUAAAAAAACAACACAAACAUUACAUUAACUUCCCUCCCGCACCUUUAACAAACACCACUUGUUCAAAAUUCCAUUCACCCAUCAAAUGAAUGGGGGAAUUACAUGUCUUAAAGACCAAGCAAGAUCCUGUGACCACCUGCUGCUAACUCCCACCAUGGCCACCAGUUCAAAAUUC
rnacentral:lncRNA from 1 species